CACGGAAUGAAGUAAAGGUAAGCUUACUGGUCUCAUGAUCCAGAUGUGGCGGUUCAAGUCCGUCUUCCGUUA
rnacentral:tRNA from 1 species